UGUAUUUUACAUGCUUGGCACUCAGCAGGGUCUGUUCCUUUAAGACCCUCCAUUUUCUUGAAGCCUAGAGGCGGGCCUUCUCUCUAAAACAUAGGGCUAGCUCCGGCAUGUCUCAUUCAUUCCAGCUCCAGCUACCACAGUGACCAGAUCCACAGGACUUCUUAAAGCUAAUACAGACUGCAAAUCUGAUAAAUACCAAAGCCUUUUUACCGCGCACUUUCAUUAUAUCUCAGUAAAGAUUACAUCAGUUAAGCAACCAGCGUGUCUUUCCUUGAGAUUCGGUAUAAACUUGAUGUGAAGCUGUGUCCACGAGACAGCGGAGACAUUAUAGUAAAAAGGCUUUUAAAACGUUAUCAGAAGCAGUUAAUCAGCUUUGAAUCGUCCGCAGCAGUAAAAAAGACUCAUAAAUCCUGUGCCCUGCAGUCUGUGUCGGAGUCAAGGCGCGAAGCACUAGAAAGUGAAACUAAUUCUCUCACGUGCUAUAACACCGCUGUGCUGUGUCCAGUCAUCAUCAUUAUCUAGCUGCCAGCUAAAUCAAGAUGCAGAACCCAGAGAACAGCACUCUGACAGUUAACCCUCAAUGCUCCUAUAAAGAGGAAGACACCUUGCCAAGAAGUAGAUCUAGGUGCACAACAUUGUCUAGAGCGUCCAGUCAAACAAAUCUAACUUCGGUUAGCGCCGAUGCAUCAAGAUUUAAACGCCAUAGUUCUAGACACUCAAGCACCACCAGCCUGUCAUCCGCUAGCGCCAUAGCAACUAAGGCAAGAGCGAAAGCAGAGGCAGCUUGUUCAAUGGCGUCCUAUGCAAAGCAGGAAGCUGAAUUGAUGAAAGAACAAGCAAAAAGUGAAUCUGAAGCACUUAGAAGAAAAGCUGAAUUGAUGAAAGAACAAGCAAAAAGUGAAUCUGAAGCACUUAGAAGAAAAGCUGAAUUGAUGAAAGAACAAGCUGAAGCACUUAGAAGAAAAGCUGAAGUGCAAGCAUCUUUACACUUACUGCAACAGCAGAAAAACGCUGCAGCAGCCUUAGCCGAGGCAGAAGUUCUCACAAGGGCUGCCGAAGCUCAGUUCGCUGACAUAGAAACCCAGAUGUCACCCCUCAGCGCAAGCCAACGUACCCGUGAGUACAUACAGUCACAAGCAACCAUGUACACUGACCAGCAGUUCAAUGACACACCAAGGCCAUCAUUGACUCCACCAGCAAUAAGCAACUUUGAUUCUACGCAACACUGCAAGACUGAAUCAGAACCUCAGGGUAGGAAGUCAAGUGGUCACAUCCUCAGAGACCAAUCUGCCAACCUGACAAGAGUGCAAACGGAUGCUGAUGUACUCCCUCCUCAAGCAAAUACAAGUCUGGAUUAUAGCAGAAAGACUUACAACAGAGGAGAAGAAAGCAGACUUAGUCAAGUACCUCAUCAGCCUUACCAGCCGCAGCCAUACCCUGAGUUUACACCUAGGAAGUAUUCACCAGAUGCAGCAAGAGCUACAGAGGUAGCAAGAUUCCUGAUGCGCCGUGAGAUAGUGAGCGCUGGUCUCAUGAAAUUCGACGACCGUCCAGAAAACUACUGGGCCUGGAAGUCAUCUUUCCUAAGCGGUACCCAAGACUUAGAUCUGACAGACAGAGAAAAGCUUGAUCUGCUCGUCAAAUGGCUAGGACCAGAGUCCACUGAGCAAGCCCAAAGAAUCAGAUCAGUACAUGUUCAUGACGCAACAGCAGGACUUGCAAUGGUGUGGAGGAGACUAGAACACUGCUAUGGGUCACCUGAAGUGAUUGAAGAUGCUCUUCUGAAGAGGAUAGAAAACUAUCCAAGAAUGACAAACAAAGACAAUCAAAAGCUGAGAGGGUUUGGGGACCUACUCUUAGAAAUAGAAGCCGCUAAGUCUAGUGGAUAUCUGCCAGGUCUCUCAUACUUAGAUACAGCACGUGGAGUUGAUCCCAUAAUCGAGAAACUUCCUUUCAACUUGCAGGAAAGGUGGGUCACUCAAGCAUCAAGAUACAAGAAAGAACAUCGAGUCGCAUUUCCACCAUUUGCCUUCCUUGCUGAAUUCAUCGUAGACCAAGCUGAAACACGCAAUGAUCCAAGCUUUGCUUUCCUGAACAAGAGAACUGCAAGCUCCCCAAAGGUAGAGCAAAAACAUCCAACGCCUUACAAAGAACGCAGAGCAACAGUUUCUGUACGGAAGACAGAAAUCUCGCCUGAGUCUGCAGUCAAUCAGGAAGACAGCGCAAGUAAGAAAGUUGAGGAGCCAGACAAAAUAUGUCUAAUCCACAACAAGCCACAUCCACUAAGAAAAUGUCGCAGUUUCAGAAGUAAGACGUUAGAAGAGCGCAAAGCUUACCUUAAAGACAAUCACAUUUGUUUCAGAUGUUGCGCUUCAAUUCAGCAUCUUGCAAAAGACUGUACAAAAACAAUAAAAUGCACAGAGUGCAACAGUGACAAACACCUGUCAGCACUGCACCCAGGACCACCACCAUGGAAACAAGAAGUUCCAGCAAGUCAAGAAGAUCAUGGUGGGGAGCAAGGCGAGAGUACAAUGCCAGCAGUAACCUCAAAGUGUACUGAGAUCUGUACAGAGCAGGGCCGCCCCAGAUCAUGUUCCAAGAUAUGCUUAGUCAAGGUGUAUCCUGCAGGCUUCAGAGAAAAAGCAAUCAAGAUGUACACAGUCUUGGAUGAACAGAGUAACAGAUCUCUGGCAAAAACAGAGUUCUUUGACCUCUUCGGUGACAAAGGAAGUCCAACUCCAUACACCCUGAAGACUUGUUCUGGAGUUGUAGAGACAACAGGGAGAAGAGCAAACAACUACAUCAUUGAGUCAUUAGAUGGAAAGACAAAGGUGACUCUUCCUACCCUCAUAGAAUGUGAUGAGAUACCAGACGACAGGUCAGAGAUCCCCACACCUGAAGUUGCUCGUCAUCACCCCCAUCUGGUGCGAAUAGCAGACCAGAUACCAGCACUAGAUCCAGAUGCUGCAAUCAUCCUUCUACUUGGGAGAGAUAUCCUCAAAGUGCACAAAGUCAGAGAACAGUACAAUGGGCCACACGAUGCACCAUUUGCACAACGCCUUGAUCUCGGAUGGGUCAUCGUUGGAGAAGUAUGUCUAGACGGACUCCACAAACCAGAAAAGGUAAAUGUCUACAGAACACAUCUGUUACAGAAUGGUCGUACAUCUUGUCUUUGCCCAUGUACCAACAGUCUACACAUUAAAGAGAGACUUGUAAACCCAACACAUCAUCCGAGUAUCCAGAGGUGCAUGGAAGACUUAGCCUCAACUGGAGAUACAGAUGAACUGGGCUGUAAGGUGUUUGAAAGAACACGAGAUGACGACAAGCUAGCACCCUCGGUGGAAGAUACUCUCUUCCUUGAGAUCAUGGACAGAGAAGUCUUCAGAGACAAAUCAGGCAGCUGGGUAGCCCCUCUACCCUUCCGGUCACCACGCCAUCGCCUUCCUGACAACAAAGUACAAGCAGAGAAACGCUUCACUUCGUUGCAGCACAUGCUACAAAGAAAGUCAAAUAUGAAGAAACACUUCCAAGCCUUCAUGCAGAAGAUCUUUGAUAACGAUCAAGCUGAAAGGGCACCACCACUACAAGAGAACCAAGAACACUGGUACUUACCAAUAUUUGGGGUGUACCAUCCUCAGAAACCAGGCCAGAUACGCGUAGUAUUUGACUCUAGUGCGAAGCACAAAGGCAUCUCACUAAAUGAUGUCCUUCUCAGUGGACCUGACCUGAACAACACACUCCUUGGAGUACUCAUCAGGUUCAGAAAAGAACUCAUAGCAGUGACAGCAGACGUACAACAGAUGUUCUACUGUUUCCUUGUUCGUGAAGAUCACAGAGACUACUUAAGGUUCCUGUGGUAUGCAGACAAUGACUUUAACAAAGAAAUCACAGAGUACAGGAUGAAGGUACAUGUGUUUGGAAACAGCCCUUCUCCAGCUGUAGCUAUCUACAACCUGAGACGAGCAGCACAGCAAGAUGAAAGACAUGGUCAAGAAGCCACACAGUUCGUCAUGAAGAACUUCUACGUAGAUGAUGGACUUGCUUCUUUCUCCAGCAACGAAGAAGCUAUCAACGUCCUGAAAAGUACAAGAGAAAUGUUGGCAGAAUCCAACAUAAGACUGAACAAGGUAGCUUCCAACAGCAACAGAGUCAUGGAAGCAUUUCCAAUGGAAGACCGUGCUAAAGACCUCAAAGACUUGGAUCUAGGAACAGAAUCACCACCCUUGCAAAGAAGUCUUGGGAUUAGUUGGGACCUGAAGACUGACAGUUUCACCUUCAGGGUCUCCAGAGAAGAGAAGCCAUUCACAAAAAGAGGUGUCCUAUCUACAGUCAACAGUCUUUACGACCCCCUGGGGUUCGUAGCACCCAUCAUCAUGCAAGGCAAAGCUCUUUUGAGACAGAUCACUACUGAGCAAGAACAAAGUGACUGGGACAUACCUCUACCUGAAGAGAAGGAAAUGCAGUGGAAGUUGUGGAAAGACUCAUUGUUAGAGCUUGAACAACUCAACAUCCCUAGACCAUACGUAUCUGUUUCCUUGUCUGCUACAAAGAGAAGAGAAAUAUGCAUAUUCUCUGACGCCUCCACUAUGGCUAUCGCAUCUGUCGCCUACCUUAGGGUAAUAGACACUGAGGGACAAAGCCAUGUCGGGUUCCUCAUGGGAAAAUCUAAGCUGGCUCCCAGACCGGCUCACACUGUCCCACGUCUAGAACUUUGUGCUGCUGUCUUAGCUGUAGAGAUGGCAGACAUGAUUACAACAGAACUGGACAUCGAGACCCAUGCAAUUAACUUUUAUACAGACAGCAAGAUUGUGUUAGGAUAUAUUCACAAUGCUUCAAGAAGAUUUUAUACAUACGUGGCCAACAGAGUGACACGUAUCAGAAAGUCUACAAGUCCAGAACAGUGGCAUUACAUCAGCACUGACAAGAACCCCGCUGAUCAUGGGACAAGACUAGUGCCAGCCGCUGCGCUCAAGCAAACUAACUGGUUUGUAGGUCCAUCCUUUCUUCGUAAACCAGAAACCAAAGAAAAUACUCAGGUAGAGACCUUUCAGCUCAUAGAACCAGAUCAAGACAAAGAGGUAAGACCUCAAGUGACAGUUUGUAGGACUAUAGUUACAAGAGACAGUCUGGGUGCUCAUAGAUUUGAAAGGUUUUCCAGCUGGAAGUCGCUGACCCGUGCAAUCGGAAAACUUAUCUGUCUAGCCAGAUCCUCCUGCAGAGCUACCAAUACUGAUCAGCAUAGCAAUGACCACCUUGAACAAGCCAAGGUCACGAUCAUCAGAUGCAUCCAGCAGGAAGUCUUUAAAGAAGAAAUCCAAAGCCUUAUGAAAAAGGAAGAGAUUUCUCGACACAAUACGCUAAAGAAGUUGAACCCUAUCCUCGACGAAGAUGGAGUGUUAAGAAUUGGAGGUCGCUUGUCGGCAGCAGAUACAACUAUCCAAGAGAGACAUCCCUUCAUCAUACCCAAAAAUCAUCACAUCGCUCUUCUUCUGGUGAGACAUUAUCACGAGCAAGUCGCACAUCAAGGUCGACACUUCACUGAAGGAGCGGUACGGUCAGCAGGGUUGUGGAUCAUAGGAGGUAAGAGACUAGUCUCCAGUGUGAUCAGCAAAUGCGUGACCUGCAAGAAGAUUAGAGGGAAACUUGAAGUUCAGAAGAUGUCAAACUUACCUGCGGACAGACUUUCUUCAGAUCCUCCAUUCACUCAUGUAGGUCUAGACGUUUUUGGCCCUUGGAACAUCUCUUCUCGCAAGACCAGAGGAGGCAGUGCCGAGAGUAAACGUUGGGCUGUUCUGUUCUCCUGCCUGAGUACCAGAGCAGUUCACAUUGAAGUGAUUGAAUCUUUAUCCACUUCAAGUUUCAUCAAUGCCUUGAGAAGAUUCUUCUCUAUCCGAGGACCAGCAAAAUUGAUUCGUUCAGACCGUGGCACAAACUUUAUUGGGGCUUGCAAAGAGUUGAAGAUCAUUUCUACAGACUCUGAAACAGGUUCCUAUCUUCAAAACCAAGGAUGCACUUGGACUUUUAAUCCUCCUCACGCAUCGCAUAUGGGAGGAGCCUGGGAGAGGAUGAUAGGAGUAGCUCGUCGCAUUCUGGAUGCCAUGCUCCUGAAGGUUGGGUCUACUCGCCUCACACAUGAAGCUUUGACUACGCUAAUGGCUGAAGUCAUGGCCAUUAUGAACGCCAGACCUUUGGUUCCAGUGUCCACAGAUCCGGAGAUGCCGGCAGUCUUGACACCUGCAAUGCUGUUGACUCAGAAGAUGGAACCAGUGACAGCCCCCACAGGAGACUUUGACCUCAAGGACUUGUACACCAAGCAAUGGAAACAAGUUCAAAGUCUUGCGGACAUUUUCUGGAAGAGAUGGAGACAGGAAUACCUGGUGACACUCCAGCCACGCAAGAAAUGGCAAGAUGACAAGCCCAAUUUACAAGUUGGAGACGUUGUUUUACUGAAAGACUCUCAGGCCCACAGGAACGAGUGGCCUAUUGGACUCAUUGUGGGGACUGAUCCUAGUAGUGAUGCUAGAGUUAGAAAGGUUGAAGUUAGGAUUGUUAGACAGGGCAUUCCCAAAGUGUAUGCAAGGCCAAUUUCUGAAGUAGUUUUACUCCUGUCCAAGGGUUAGUGGCAUAACAAAAAGUAUGCCAGGUGGGGAGUGUGCUGCCUUCGCAAUGUAUUUUACAUGCUUGGCACUCAGCAGGGUCUGUUCCUUUAAGACCCUCCAUUUUCUUGAAGCCUAGAGGCGGGCCUUCUCUCUAAAACAUAGGGCUAGCUCCGGCAUGUCUCAUUCAUUCCAGCUCCAGCUACCACAGUGACCAGAUCCACAGGACUUCUUAAAGCUAAUACAGACUGCAAAUCUGAUAAAUACCAAAGCCUGGAACAUGUUUAUCAGAAAAUUACCUACUGUUUAAAUCAAGCUUUUUAGGUUAGUGUUUCUAUGUUAAACUGUCAUUCAAAAAGAUUUCCAACAUCACAGAGACAUGUCAAAGGUUUUAAUUCAAUUACUACAGCGAAGAGGAAAAAGCACUCCCCACUCUCUCCUUACUGCAAGAGACUGGUUCAUAGACUUUCUUAUCCAUACCCAUAUGGUGUCAUCCGUUGCCUAUCCCAUUCUGGGGUGACUGUUUACUGUGCCCGGAGUGAUCGGUGGAGCUUGACCAAUCAACAUGGUGAUUUCCUGUUGGAGUUCCUUCCCUCUAAAAACAAGUCCCUGGAUCUCUUGUUUAUGAAAAUUCCCUUUCAAGGAUGCCCUCUUAAAGAAUGUAUUCACAUCAUCGAGACAUUGUGGUUAUCUUCACCCAUAGACUUUUAGAGUGUUCUCAUAAUGAUUACCAUUAUGUAACACUAUUAUUAUGGGGUAACAGGCAUAUCUGCGACGAUCUUAUAGCCUAAUUUACGCAGACAGGCUUAUAAUCACUUGUAUCUAAAGCCAAAUGACCUAGCAGACUGUGGUUGGAGAACCGUGGGGAAACACAAGCGCUUUCCAGAGACAACACCACGGAUGGACUCAACCCAAUACCCUUGUGUAUCCCAUUAGUAUCACUCUACAUGUACUGAUACUUUUAAUCAAAUUGUGGUAUAUUAGCAAUGAUUUAUAUUUUAGUCAUUGUCAGUAAUCACCCUUAUGCCUCAUCUGGUUGUUUUACUAUAAUCCGUAGCCUGAAAACGAUCUGUUUGGAGCAAUUUUGAACAGCUAAUGUCAUGGCGAUUGUCCUGCAGUAAACAAACUGUACAUUAGUGUAAUAUCACUGAGGAUGUUCUAAUGAUAAUAGUGCGAGCACAGAUUGCUCUGCAGUAAUUUAAUAGGGCAGGACUGCCAACGUCUCGAUGAUCAUGCUGCAAAUAGGAAUAUAACACAUAAUAACACAUAUUUGUAAACCAAUAGUCAAACAUACAGAAUAUGCUGUCAAUUCAUUCGGAUUGAGGAUGUUUUAUUUUUUUCUAUUUAUUGCACCAA